UGGGGAAUAUUGCACAAUGGGGGAAACCCUGAUGCAGCCAUGCCGCGUGUGUGAAGAAGGCCUUCGGGUUGUAAAGCACUUUCAGUAGGGAGGAAAGGUAAUAACUUAAUACGUUAUUGCUGUGACGUUACCUACAGAAGAAGGACCGGCUAACUCCGUGCCAGCAGCCGCGGUAAUACGGAGGGUCCGAGCGUUAAUCGGAAUUACUGGGCGUAAAGCGUGCGCAGGCGGUUUGUUAAGCGAGAUGUGAAAGCCCCGGGCUCAACCUGGGAAUUGCAUUUCGAACUGGCGAACUAGAGUCUUGUAGAGGGGGGUAGAAUUCCAGGUGUAGCGGUGAAAUGCGUAGAGAUCUGGAGGAAUACCGGUGGCGAAGGCGGCCCCCUGGACAAAGACUGACGCUCAGGCACGAAAGCGUGGGGAGCAAACAGGAUUAGAUACCCUGGUAGUCCACGCCGUAAACGAUGUCUACUCGGAGUUUGGUGUCUUGAACACUGGGCUCUCAAGCUAACGCAUUAAGUAGACCGCCUGGGGAGUACGGCCGCAAGGUUA
rnacentral:rRNA from 1 species